rnacentral:rRNA from 1 species
ACGGAAGGCAGCAGUGGGGAAUAUUGCACAAUGGGCGAAAGCCUGAUGCAGCGACGCCGCGUGAGUGAAGAAGUAUCUCGGUAUGUAAAGCUCUAUCAGCAGGGAAGAAAAUGACGGUACCUGACUAAGAAGCCCCGGCUAACUACGUGCCAGCAGCCGCGGUAAUACGUAGGGGGCAAGCGUUAUCCGGAUUUACUGGGUGUAAAGGGAGCGUAGACGGUUUGGCAAGUCUGAAGUGAAAUGCGGGGGCUCAACUCCUGAACUGCUUUGGAAACUGUCGAACUAGAGUGCAGGAGAGGUAAGUGGAAUUCCUAGUGUAGCGGUGAAAUGCGUAAAUAUUAGGAGGAACACCAGUGGCGAAGGCGGCUUACUGGACUGUAACUGACGUUGAGGCUCGAAAGCGUGGGGAGCAAACAGGAUUAGAUACCCUGGUA